rnacentral:sRNA from 1 species
CCCCCCGUUGAAACGGUGGGCUAUUUCCUUCCGUCCCUUGCGGGACU